CUUAGGAACUCCAGCAAAGACAGAGGAAAAGCAUUCCCACCAUACUGCUAUAACAGAGCCGCAGUGAGCUGCAAAGGGGAGCAAGGAAGCAAGAUUGAAAUUUGACAACCUUCUUUGAAUCCUGACAGCUUUACAAAGAUAUUCACCAAGGUGUCAGGGAAGGGAGAAUAAGCCAAAACUCCUCUUUGAGGGAAAGAAGAAAAGGGAUGGAAAGAAAUAAGCCACUGAAAACAGGAUUUCGAAAAGAAAGUGCCAUCUCAGCCAGAACUCUCUUUGCAGGAACACCUCCAAGAAAUUAUGAUGAUAAAUGCUGCGUUCACAACCUGAAUAUCUAAUUUUUGUCCCUUGAGGCAAAAUUUUGGAUUAAGCCAGUGGUUUUCAAACUUCGUGAAGUCAUGGCACCCAUUCAUAUGACUUCUGCUGCAGAAACCGCACUCCUGGCUUCACAGGCCAUGUGAGAUGACACGGAUUCAAGUGACCUGGCCUAGCAAUGGCAGCACACUGCCAUUACCCUUUGUCUUCCUGCAAAACCCUUGCCCUAUCACAGAACUCCAAAGUUUGGCAAAACACAGUUUAUAAACCAAUGGCCUUAAGCAACAGAUACCUACAGGUAUGCUCCUAACUAUACUAAGAUUAUGGAGAAACAAGCUCAGGAUAAGGAAGACAGAUGCUAUCUGACUCUUUUCUUGCAUGAUGAGGUGCAUAAGUUCAGUGAUAAUAAUUAUUAAGAGGGCUGAGUACCCUGCACUACAGGAUCCUACAUAUCCCUACUAUUGCUUGUAGUACAAUGAGGAAAAAAUGCCAUCACUUCAAUCUGAGAAACAGAGACCCUAUAAUUACAGACUCUACAGGCACAGUACAGGGGCACAAAGGGGCAGGUUUCAAUUUGCAACAGAACACUUGCAGGCCCUUCGCCUCAGAGAGUGCUAUUUCCCUGCCCUGACUAAGAAUCCCUUUCAACCUCCAGCUAUUCUCAAGCAUUUCAAGAAAGCAAGCUAUUUUUUAUAAUGGGUAGUUAUUUUUUACUUUCCACUUACCCCAAAUCAGUAGAACCAUUCUUGGUCAAAGUUUCUUAAACAAAAGGAAACAAAGGACAAGCUAUAGUUGGGCAGAAAGCAUGUCUUGUAAGUUUUUGCCCAUGGAAAACAAUUUCAGAAAGAUACUAGCAACUAUAAAAUUGGGUGGUAGAGAUGAAAGUGAAGGCAGACAGUUAACUAUGGUCAUGGUGGCCACUCCCACUAUCACAAAGCGGAGUCCACAUAAAAGUAUUCUUGCAGGAGUAGAUUAAAAAUGGAAGGGCCUGGUGUGGACAGCACAGCAAGAAAAAAAAGUAUCUAGCUAAUUCAAUUUCAAAUAAGAAGACUAGACCUGCUUAGGAAGUAUUUAUGCCAACAAGAAGUGAUAUCCAAAAAUUAUCCAUGGAUUUUCCUCUAGAUCUAUGUUUCCUGCUUGUCAUAUUCCUGUCAGUGUAGAUUCUGAGGCACAAAAGACUGGUUCCUUUCUCCCUUGAAGUUUUUCAUUCCAUAACUGAUGAGCCCCUUAACUUUGAAAGCAGAUGAGAACAAUUCCACCCUUUCAAGCAUCCCAGCUGCUGUCUCUUUAAAAGAAACUUCCUAAAACUCCUGUACUCCUCUAACCAAUUCAGGAUGUACUUGUUCAUCUGUUAGAUCAUUACCAGAAACACUGAGCCCAUUAGGUCUAAUGAACUGCUACUUAGGUGGCAAGCUGAAAAGCUAAAUGAGCUGAUUUCCCAGAGAAAAAGAAAGGUGCAGUCAGACUUCCCAACAGGAAGGGUACCCAUUCUAAAGGAAGUGUGGAAUUUCCCUACGUGAGAAAAGACAUUUAUAGAAAAGACUACUUAAUUCUAAACCACAGCAGAAUCACUUGCUACUUUAACAUACAAAGGAUCAUGUAAUCAAAUGUGGCCCUGCAAGUGUACAACACAAAAUAGCAUUUUUAAACCCUGUUUUAUUUUGUGUGAGCUGUGUCUGAGGAGAGGGCUGAGAAGCACAGGUUAAGUUAUCAGAGACCAAGAAAAUUAUCGGAAUUUUCUUUAUAAUUAAAAUAACAUUUUUGCUCCAAUUCAAAAACAGCAGAAUUGUUCUUCUUCUGCAUUCCUUCCCAGAAUAAUUUACUUCUAAACCAAGACCAAACAUGAAAAAUUUCAGCUGACAUAUUUUAUGAUGUUAAAAGGCCACCAAUUAUUGACAUUCUUGCCUUCUCAGGAUCAACACUGGUAUCACAAAAUUCAGACACUAUUGAAAACUUAGAGGGAUUCAAGGAAGUCUAUUAUCUUAUUCACAUCCCACAGGGAAUCACAGGCAGCUGUAAAGAUGUGAACACAAGCAGCUAUAGGCCAAGAAUCUUGCACGUAAAUUGGACUUGUCACAAAGAGCAGCAGGGAGUUAAGAGUUUGAUUCUUUGGCUUUUACUGGGGAAUGUAUACAGCCUCAGUGAACACUCCAGAUGUUGUCAAACACCCCUCUGUUGCCAUCUAAACUCACAAGUGCAUAGAUAAAUAAGACUAUGACAUGAAUAUUUAUACAAGUAUUGACAAGGAAUUGACUGCAAUUAAUCAAGUAUCUAAGUAGGUCAAUCUUUCUGAGUAGUUUUGGAAGGGGGGGGGGGUGUUAUACCUGUGCCCACUUUCAUCCAUUUUCGAUGCAAUAGCAGAUGCAUCUUGGUCAGCCCCACUUCUCUUGUCUCCUAGUUAUACACUUUUCUCAGCUUUUCCAAUUUAAAUUCUUAUUUCUGAUAAUUUCAGCAAGGACUUCUCUUCAAGUUCUUCCACAUUCUACUCUCCCUGGAGGAUAAAAUCUCUCAUGUCACACUGGUUGCACAACUGUUCCCUUAUGGAAAUCCACUGUGCUGUCUGACCCCCAAAUUUCAAGUUCUAGUUUGCGAGCAAUGUUUCUAUAUUGAUAAGAGCCUGCUCAAGUUAUGUGCAUUCUGGUGUAUUUUGGGUUGCAGCUAAGAGGAAACUUUUGUGUGAGUCAUCAGAGUAAUCCAGUUUUUAUGACUUUUAAUUGGUUCUUUCAAGCUGACAACCCUCUGGUAUUACCCCAGUGUCAUGAGUGGUACUUGAAUUUUGAUGGAGUAGCUUACUCCUUUGCUUCUAGAGGUCAGUACCAUUGAGGCCUAGUAGAGAUGCUCUAUAGAAAUAGGGUGUGUUCUGUUAAGUUGUUGCAUUAGGUUUUUUCAUACUUUGACACAAAGGAAGUAUAUGUUGUAAUGGUGCCAAAAUAUGGACCAUUCAUUUUUAUUUAUUUAUUUAUUGAAUGCAGUUUAAAGGGGAGCUCUUAUCCUAAUUAGUUGUCUUCUGCGGCUUUUGGUACCUGAGUUCAGGGACUCCCAUGGUAUUUAUUCAGCUCUGCAGGCAUAGGGCAAACUUCUCUAGGGGUUUCUCUACUGUUUGGUACACUCUGCAGUUAUAAAUGUACUACCGCUCCUUUAUGAUGCAUGAGAGUGCCUAAUAAUUUUAGCAUCCAAUGCAAUUUUUGUGGGAUAGAAAACCAAACCAUACACCAAUUAAUAACUUAUCCCAAGAAGAAACUUUCCAUUUUGAAAACCUUCCAGCAUUGCCCAAGGGAUGACCCCCUGCUCUCAUUCAGACAACCGCUAACCUCCACAGAAGUGCAGCCACCUUCCCAUCACAUACUCUCCAGAAAAAGCCAAUAUCAAAAAACCAAGAGAUUAAGUCUUUAUCUUUACAAAAGCCACAGGCAGGGGAGCUGGAAGCCACAUCCUGCCAUUUCAUUAUCUCCAAGCCACGAGGAUUUCAAAACACUUACUGCUUGACCCUGACCACAUAAACCCUUACAUUUCUCCCUGCCACCCAGAGGAAGUGCUAUGCA